GACGAACGCUGGCGGCGUGCCUAACACAUGCAAGUCGAGCGAAAGGACCAGAAGUUUGCGUGGCGGAUGUUAGCGGCGGACGGGAGAGAAACAUGUGUAUAACCUACCUAUCAGACUGGGAUAAUCUCGGGAAACCGGCGCUUAUACCGGAGAAUAUCUUGCACCGUGUGGUGCAAAAGUGAGAUUCGGUCGUUGGGUCACUAAUAGCUGGAUCCGCGCUGCAUGAGCUGGUUGGUAAGGUAAAGGGUUACCAAGGCUAGUAGGCAUAACCGACCGAAGAGGGUGAUCGGCGACCCGGGAGCUGAGACGGGGUCCAGACUCCUACGGUAGGCCGCAGUCGGGAAUCUUCCGCAAUGGUCGAGAGGCUGACAGAGCAACGCGGCGUGAGUUAUGACGCUGCUCGGAUCGUGAAGCUCUGUUGUUAGGAGAGAACAUAUGUGUAAUUAACUGUGCAGAUAUUGACGGUACCGGGUCAAAAAGCCCCGGCUAACUACGUG
rnacentral:rRNA from 1 species